rnacentral:rRNA from 1 species
AGUGAACGCUGGCGGUAGGCCUAACACAUGCAAGUCGAACGGCAGCACAGUAAGAGCUUGCUCUUACGGGUGGCGAGUGGCGGACGGGUGAGGAAUACAUCGGAAUCUACUUUUUCGUGGGGGGUAACGUAGGGAAACUUACGCUAAUACCGCAUACGACCUACGGGUGAAAGCAGGGGAUCUUCGGACCUUGCGCGAUUGAAUGAGCCGAUGUCGGAUUAGCUAGUUGGCGGGGUAAAGGCCCGCCAAGGCGACGAUCCGUAGCUGGUCUGAGAGGAUGAUCAGCCACACUGGAACUGAGACACGGUCCAGACUCCUACGGGAGGCAGCAGUGGGGAAUAUUGGACAAUGGGCGCAAGCCUGAUCCAGCCAUACCGCGUGGGUGAAGAAGGCCUUCGGGUUGUAAAGCCCUUUUGUUGGGAAAGAAAAGCAGCAGGUUAAUACCCCGCUGUUCUGACGGUACCCAAAGAAUAAGCACCGGCUAACUUCGUG